GCCCUCGUAGCUUACGUUGGUCAAAGCGCUGGCCUUAUAAGCCAGUGAAAGCACGUGCCAGAUAAGCGCGGCAACGUCGGUUCGAUUCCGACCGAGGGCACCA
rnacentral:tRNA from 1 species